GGCAGAGUUCGGUAAAUGCAAAAGGCUUAAGCCCUUUACCCAGAGGUUCAAAUCCUCUCCCUAGCC
rnacentral:tRNA from 1 species